CUGGCUCUGUGCUCUCUGGCUCCCUCCCAGGCUCCUGGCGUUUUCCCGACUCUGUGCUCUCUGGCUCUCUCCCAGGCUCCCAGUGUCCCCCCGACUCUGUGCUCUCUGGCUCCCUCCCAGGCUCCCAGUGUCCCCCCAACUCUGUGCUCUCUGGCUCCCUCCCAGACUCCUGGUGUCCCCCCGACUCUGUGCUCUCUGGCUCCCUCCCAGGCUCCCAAUGUCCCCCCCGACUUUGUGCUCUCUGGCUCUGGCUCCCAGUGUCCCCCCCAGCUCCGUGCACUCAGGCUGCCUACCACACUCCUGGUGUCCCCCCGACUCUGUGCUCUCUGGCUCCCUCCCAGGCCCCCAGUGUCCC
rnacentral:lncRNA from 1 species